UAAUAGAAGAUCCGCUGUCAUUCCAGCUGAAUGAAAGUUUUUCAGAGUUUGGAGUUGGUUGAGAGAUUCUCACGUCAACCCACCUUCCCUCAAAAUAUAGGAAAAGUGGAUUCCACCAGAAUCAACAUGAAUAGAAUGAGCCGAGAGUAAUCCAGGCAGUCCAUUGACUUUGAAAUGAGAGAAAGACAGAAAUGAGACUCCAGAGAAACAAAUCAAUGAUGCAGAGGACAAGCUUUUCCCUUCCAUGAAGCAGAGAAAAAUAAAAUGUAUGAAAAUGAUGAAAGAGAAGACGUUGUGAGACAGAGUACAGGGAGAUAGCCGGGAAUUUUGAGAGGCCCUGAAGAAAAUGCGCCCCUGUACCCCAAAUUAUAAGCAGUACUCAAAGAUGUAUUUGAGGAA
rnacentral:lncRNA from 1 species